rnacentral:misc_RNA from 1 species
UAGAUAGAUACAUAAUGGAAACAGCUGAAGCUCUAUUGAUUGAUUAACAUGGCCCAGUUCUGUGAUUGUGUGUAAGCUUACCAAGAACUUCGUAGGCUGAGAGGCCGAAAGGACUGGAAACAGUCAUACAGUUACUGUGUUUCAAAGGACAGGAUCAGAUUUAUUAAAAGGACUCUGCUUUGAGUCAUUUUGCUCAAAUCACAGUUUGAUAUUGUUUGGAUUAGAGGAGAUUUUAUGGUGUAUUGUGUUUAUUCAGCACCAAUAUUAUUUGAUGUGGAUAGAGUUUGUGAUUGUAUUCAGCGUGGAUGGUUCAUAUCUCUAAAAACAUGUUUCCUACCUAGGGUCGUGAUUGAAAGAAGAACAAGUGGGAAAUGUUACUGUGAAAGAUACUGCAGAAAGACAUUGAGUCAAAAAAUCGUAACAUCAGUGCAGUUCUCCGCUUGAGUGAACUUCUUCACAAUGACCUUGAGGAGUCAAUCAAACAUGAAGUUUUCCCUCUGCAACAAUUGGCCCUUGAUCUACAGCAGAAGUGGCAUGAGAUUUGGCUCGAAUCUUUAGAAGUUCAAUGCAGGCUUGAAAAUGCCCUGAAAGGAGGCAAAAAGGUUUGUAUUAAUAUAAAGGUCUAUACAUUCAUAAAUCUACAUUAUUGUUAAUCAAAACCCCAUUAACAUGAUUGAAUGAUGCUCCUAAAGAUAAAGGGCUUUCAUAUAUCUUCAGAAAUGUUAGGGAAAGCUAUUGAUGAGUCCGGAUUAGAUCAGUAUUUGAUUGUUUUUUUAAGACUGGUUUGUUUAGAGUUGUAACACAGUGUACAUGUUGUAUGCAGAGAUUAAGAUUACAGGGUAAGCAGAUGAGUUAGGCCGUUAGGAUAAAUAAAAGUUUAUUUGGCUUAAGGAGAAAUCAAUGGCAAUUUGACUGUUUUAAUAGUUGCAUUAGUAAUAAUUGUGGCAGGCUAAUGGAUGGGAAUUGACUUUUAAUGGAAAGUGUACUAAUAGAAAAGGAAGUCGGUAUGAUACACAAUGAUGACCAGUGCCGGUCUUUCAGUGAGCUACAUGUCUCUAUUAGUCAAGAGAACAGUUAUUUGCAAUAAGGUAGACACUAACUGUCCAUGUAAACUAUACAGGCAUGUUAUGCCUAUUGAGUUGAAAUGUUUUUAAAAGCAGGUGAAAUCAUUAAUGUAUUCAGUUUGAUUUUUUUCCCUAAGCUAUUGAUGUUGAGUGAAUCGAUCUUUCAAUUGUAUCUUAAGUCAAGUCACAUUGAUUUAUGGUUAAUAUGACGAAAUAAAAGCAAACCAAUCUUUUUUUAAAUGUCAAUUUUUAAAAAAAAUGAAAGAUAUAAGAUGCAUUGAUUAAAACUUGAAGGAAAAAAUCAAUACCUCUUAACAGAUCUACUCUCAAUAAAAUCAAUACUUCAUCAGGAUUUUUAAUCACUUAUUUGCAUGUCGUAUAUCAGACAGAACUCACAAGCAGGAAAUUGUAAAAAAGCGAGAGAGA